rnacentral:misc_RNA from 1 species
GGUGAUCCGAUCGGCAACAGCGACUGAUUCAGAAUUUAAAUAAAACGAAACAGAACGAACCGGAGAAGGAGCCAAAGCCGGUACAGGAGGAGGCGGAGAAACAGGAACAUGGUGGUUCCAGCGAUCAAGCAUCCAUGCCGAAUAAACUAUAAUCGAAACCCCAACGAAAGCUUGAAGGAAAUUGAAGCAUUUGAGGAUGAAAGCGAGAGAAACAUGACAGCAAGUGCG